rnacentral:misc_RNA from 1 species
CUACCCCUCAAGCGCGGCUUGUGCUGGGCGCUGUCCCUCCCCUUCUUCGGGGGGACAGGCCUGAAAGGCAGUGGCGGCGUCGCGUCCGGUCCUCGAGCGUAUGGGGCUUUGUCACCCGCUCUGUGAGGAUCCGGCCGGGGCCUGUCUCACCCCCAAUCUUCUCUAA